CAGGCUGGCCUCCUGGAGUAUGACAGACCAGAAAUAAGGAAAAAAACAACGGACUGGAUUUUCCUAGUUUCUACAGAUGCAAGAGCCAAAUGACUUUUGAGUGUUUCCUGCCUGGAUGUUGACUUUUGAAACUCAGAUAUUAGAUCAAGCUUCUCAAUACAAAGCCCAGAUCAAGCUUUUCAACACAAAAAGCCAUCAGCCUCAACAAAAUCCUAGGAAGCAGAAUUCAAGCAGUGAAGGAUAAUGUUUUGUUUAAGUUGUCAGUGUUCACCCUUCAAAAAUGUAAAAUAUAAUUCCAAAUCAAAAUCCAA
rnacentral:lncRNA from 1 species